GGAGUGGGAGCAUCGAGGCGGCGGCAACAACAUCAGCUGUUCAGCACCGGGUGCUCAACCGAGGCAUAUUCCUCGACGCGGGAAGUCUGUCGCUUUAGCUCACUCGUCGGGGUAACUGGCCAUCGUUCGGAGCAAUGGCUACGCGUGCUGGUCGGAUCACCCAAGAUCCGGUCAUCGGGCAGCUUGACAUACAUGUGAAUAACGAGGACGAGCUGAAACAGAUCGAAACUCUCUUGCCCAAAGACUGGAGGGCCGAGGUCUCCUCGGAUGGUUCAACGCUCAAAAUUCGUUACUCGUGUGCUCUCGAGGAAAUGAAGGAUCGAACGAUCUCAUUUAUGGAGUGCCUCAAAGAACACAAUCUCCCGAAGGACUUGCCGCUUCGAAAACGCGACGCCAGCGACGAGGACAGCGAUGUAGAAUAAUGCUUCAAGAGAAUAUAACUUG